rnacentral:rRNA from 1 species
CCAUUGAGUGGGGGAUAACGUAGCGAAAGUUACGCUAAUACCGCAUAUUCUCUGAGGAGGAAAGUAGGGGAUCGAAAGACCUUAUGCUUUUUGGAGCGGCCGAUGUCUGAUUAGCUAGUUGGUAGGGUAAUGGCUUACCAAGGCGACGAUCAGUAGUUGGUCUGAGAGGACGACCAGCCACACUGGGACUGAGACACGGCCCAGACUCCUACGGGAGGCAGCAGUGGGGAAUUUUGGACAAUGGGCGCAAGCCUGAUCCAGCAAUGCCGCGUGAGUGAAGAAGGCCUUCGGGUUGUAAAGCUCUUUCAGUUGAGAAGAAAAAGUUGUGACUAAUAAUCAUGACUCAUGACGGUAUCAACAGAAGAAGCACCGGCUAACUACGUG